GGCUCUCUGGUGGCUACUCCAGGAAGCAUGGCCAAGUUUGUCCUGAAUCAGAACCUUCCCGACCUGGGCGGUCCUUCCCUGUACCCAGGCCCCACUGGGAGUGCCCGCAGCCCUAGCUCUCCCUACUCUGUGGAGACGCCCUAUGGCUUCCACCUGGACCUGGACUUCCUCAAGUACGUGGAGGAAAUCGAGCGUGGCCCUGCCUCUCGCCGAGCUCCAGGACCCCCGCACGCACGCCGUCCGCGCGCGUCCCGAACGGGCCUCGCGGGAGCGCGGAGCCCAGGAGCUUGGACCUCCAGCGAGUCCCUGGCCAGUGACGACGGCGGAGCUUCUGGUGCACUCUCUCCCGGGGCGUUCCCAGGGCUCUCGCUACCUCCGCUGUCGCCCCGCUCCUUCUCGCGCAAUCCGCGCGUCGAGCACACGCUCUUGGAGACCAGCCGACGACUGGAGCAGGCACAGGCUCAAGAGCGCGCGCUCAGCCCGGCCCGUGCGGCCACGCGCAGUCCGCGCGGGUCGGGCCGCAGCAGCCCCGCCCCCAACCCCGCCCUUACUUCGCCCAGCCCUGCCCUUGCUUCGCCCGGCCCUGCCCAGCUGCAGCACGUGAGGGAGCAGAUGGCCGUGGCGCUGCGGCGCCUGCGUGAGCUCGAGGACCAGGCGCGCGCUCUGCCGGAGCUGCAGGAGCAGGUGCGCGCGCUUCGCGCUGAGAAGGCGCGGCUACUGGCCGGGCGCGUGCAGCCAGAGCAAGAUGUAGAGAUCGAGGUGCGCCCAGACAAGCUCUCCCAGCUUCGGCGCCUCACCGAGCGUCUGGCCACCUCGGAUCGCGGAGUCCGCUCCAGGGCUAGCCCCCGGGCUGAAGAUCCUGACGGGUUGGCUGCCAGGCGCAGCGAAGGAGCGCUGCAGGUGCUCGACCCGGCGUCUAGGACACCCGAUGGGGAACCCCAGACUCGGGAGGCGGGCACCGAAGUCGUGCCUGAGACCCGAGAGGUGGAUGCCCAGGCAGUACCCGACACAAGGGAGGCUGGGGUGGAGGUGGUCCCUGAGACCGUUGAGGUGGACACGUGGGUGACCGAGGCGCUGCUGGGGUUGCCCGAGGCUGCAGAGCGUGAGCUGGAACUGCUCCGCACGAGCUUGGAGCAUCAGCGAGGGGUGAGCGACCUCUUGCGGGGCCGAUUGAGGGAGCUGGAGGAAGCCCACGAGGCUUUAGUGACCAGGUCUCAGUCUCGCGAGGUUGCUACCCAAACUACAUUGGGUUACACUGAGAAGACCACACAGACCGAGCUCCCAGUAGAGAGCCAGCCCAGACCCACUGCUGGAGACGAGAUGGCCCCUGCUGGUAUCCUCAAAUCCAUCAUGAAGAAGAAAGAUGGUACUCCAGGUGCACAAUCCAGUCAGGGACCCAAGAGCCUGCAGUUCGUUGGGGUCCUCAACGGAGAGUAUGAGAGCUCCUCCAGUGAGGAUGCCAGCAACAGUGAUGAUGAAGAUGAUGUUGCUGAACUCCCCAGGAGUAGCUCUUCUGGGUCAGGAGAUGAUAGCAGUGGGGGAUCUGACGCUGGAACUCCUGGCCCCCACAAUGACCAAGAUGCGGGGGACUGCGAGCUUGAGAUGCUUCCAGAGCAGAAGGCAGGGAGAGAAGGGAGGUGUGAACUGAACCCCCGUUUGAGGGAGGCUUGCAUUGCUCUGAAUCAGCAGCUGAUGCGGCCCCGUGGAGUCACCAGCAGAGAUGCAUUGAUGCCUACUCUGUCCUGGUCCUGCCAGAAUGCAGCACGUCUUGUGGCCCAGGAGUGGUUUCGAGUGUCCAGCCAAAAGCGCUGUCAGGCCGAGCCCGUGGCUGGGGUGCUUCGAGGGGUGAAGAGCCUGGGGCCUGAGCUGCUGGCUCAUGUGGUGAACCUGGCUGACGGCAACGGAAACACAGCUUUGCAUUACAGCGUGUCUCAUGGGAAUCUGGCCAUUUCCAGCCUGCUACUGGAUACAGGGGUCUGCGAUGUCAAUCACCAGAAUAGAGCUGGCUACUCUGCACUCAUGUUGGCUGCACUCACUUCUGUAGGAAAGGAGGAGGAAGAUAUGGCUGUGGUCCAGAGACUUUUCAGCAUGGGUGAUGUCAAUGCCAAGGCUAGCCAGACUGGACAGACAGCCCUCAUGCUGGCCAUCAGCCAUGGUCACCAGGACAUGGUAGCUGCCUUGCUGGAAUGUGGGGCUGAUGUCAAUGUACAGGAUGCUGAUGGGGCUACAGCACUCAUGUGUGCCAGCGAGUAUGGACGCCUGGAUACAGUUCAGUUGUUGUUGGCCCAGCCAGGUUGUGACCUAACCAUCUUGGACAACGUGAGCCACUAGUUAGGGCCUGGAAUUAGUGGUGGUUAUGUGCCUCUGUAGCCCCGGGACCAAAUGUCCUGUUAUUUCUCAGGAGGGCACAAGUGCCUUGGCCAUUGCACUGGAGGCUGAACAGGAUGAGGUGGCUGCGUUGCUCCAUGCCCACCUGACAUCAAACCGCCAUGACUCCCAGGAACAGUCGCCUCCAGGGUCUCCCACAGCCACACUGCAAAGGGAUACAGGACCUCAACCUCUGUGAGCUGCUACCUACACAUCUGGAGUGUAGGAGACUCUUCCCUCUGCUGCCUGAGCUUCUGAAUCACAGCAGGGUACCCUGUGAAGGUGCUCCCUCUAGCUUGUUAGGAAUGCUGAGGGGAAGGAUGAGGCAAAGCCUGGGGAAUGCCAGAUCCCUCGACCCAUUCACUUCAUAAAACAUCCUUCCUAAUAAAAGUAUUUCUAAUAAA